GUACCGGAAUAGAAUUUUUAGGGGCACACAUGAGGAAAAAAGUGAUACUUAAUUAUGAACCAUGAUCACAUACUUAAUCUAUAAUCUCAUAUCACUACUCGUUCGUAACGAUAAACAGUAAUAAUCCUGAAUACAAGCAGAACUUCAGGAAAAGCAAGAACCAAAAAAAA